CUGGGCCGAAGGCAGACAGUCAACCGCUGAGCCACCCAGGGGUCCCUGGCCAUGGAUUAAUUUGGGUUUAUAAUGGGAGCUGGAAUAUCCAUAAAUCUAGGAAUUUCAGCACCCAGACUGGAAGACACUACUAUACUACAUGCAGAGAUGGAAACAUCUUAAAGAACAGCUAGGAUAUUAUUGAAGUUUUUCACCACUAAGGAUCUCUGGGCUCAGGAGAGUCCUGACAGAGAAAUGUUCAUCUUACUGUUGACGUCAGCUCAUCCUUUAUCUCCAAUGCUGCUGGUUGUGUCUGGAGACCUCAACAGGUAGCAAAAGGCAACUUGGGGCAGCCCACUGCAGAGCAGAACACACUGUGAUCUCAGUCCCCCAUUUUGGAGAUUCAGGGGGGAGAGUGACCCGUACAUCAAGAACAGAAGUGGAGAUAGAAUAACAACAGGAAGAAGGGGAGAGGGAGCAUUUAUUAAAGAGUAUACUUGGGACCACCUACCUGGAGAAGGCUAGGGAAGUUGAGCAUAGCUGAAAAGAGAUUAUACAUUUGAAGAUCCAACGUUUUCAAGUGCUGGAUGAGAACAAACGCUUCACGAUGAAGAUACUACCAAGGAGCAUAUCAUUAAGGGAGAGUAUAGUGGUGCCUGGUGACUCAGUAGGUUGGGUGUCUUAUUAAAGAUUUUGGCACAGGUCCUGAACUCAGGGUGCUGGUUUGAGCUCAAUAGCAGGAUAUGCAGGAAAUCUUCAUGGGAUUCUCUCUCACCUUCUGUCCCUCCACCCACAAACAGAGUCUCUCUCUCUCUCUCAAAAUAUAAUAAAUAACUACAUAAAUAACAAAAUAGUGUAAAACGCAUGAGAGAAAAUAAAUUACAUAUGAUGUUGAUUUAAGGAUCUGAGUCUUCACAGUCACCAUCUUCCUUGUGCAGCAGCAUAGGAAUGGGGUUGGGGUGGCCUGGGGAAAAAAGAGGGGACAGUUAAGGGGAGAGGAUAUUAGUCACAGUUUCUAGGAUUGAUAUCCCUCCCCCCGAACUAAAUUUUGCCUUCUGCUCUAGUAUCCUCAGGUAUACAACCCUGAAUUCAAUGAUCCUUUCAACUUUAUGUGAGGAAUGGCCUCCAGAGUCUCAGAUUCCAUAUCUUCAACCAGGAAAGAAGGCUUGUCAUUCCAUCCUUCAAAGAAGUGACCAUGGGCAUCCAGGAUGGCUCAGCGGUUUAGUGCCGCCUUCAGCCUGGGGCCUGAUAUGGAAGACACAGGUCUAGUCUCACAUCAGGCUCCCUGCAUGGAGCCUGCUUCCCCUCUGCCUGUGUCUCUGCCUCUCUC